rnacentral:rRNA from 1 species
UACGUAGGCAGCGAGCGUUGUUCGGAAUUACUGGGCGUAAAGAGUGUGUAGGCGGUGCUCCCAGUCUGUUGUGAAAUCUCCCGGCUUAACUGGGAGGGUGCAGCGGAAACUAGAGUGCUAGAGGGUGGGAGAGGUAAGCGGAAUUCCUGGUGUAGCGGUGAAAUGCGUAGAUAUCAGGAGGAACACCGGUGGCGAAGGCGGUGGUCUGGGCCGGCACUGACGCUGAGGAGCGAAAGCGUGGGUAGCAAACAGG